UGAGUUAGCAUAGUUUGUAAUUUAUUUUCUCUGCACGUAGUUUGCUUCAAGAUGGCUAACGUUAGCUAUUUUGGUUUACGACUCUUCCAAUUAAUAAUUUAGUGGAAUAAUACUUAUGUUAACUAGCUAAUGUUUAAAGUAAAUUACAUGCCAACCGGUGUAAACUAAACUUCGAAGCUAACUAAAGGUUUAACGCUAAUUAACAUUAACCUAGCUUGUGCCACGUGGGUCCAUAGUGCGCUGAUGUUAACUUUUUUUUUGUACACUGCACAACGUUUUAAUUAUAAUAUUGGGUCUUUCUGUGAAGAUAUCUUUGUCCAGUUCUGCUACUGAAUGAUAGUGAUCGAUAUUAGUGACUCUGAGAAAGACCUGGGUUUUUACAAAGCAUAUUAUUUCAAACUUGUUAGUUAGCUAGUCGCCCGGCCUUAAUAGAACCGCGCCAAAGCCUUAAUUACCGGUGAUAAACAAUUUAUCAUGUAGUUUAAUUAAACGACCAUUUGUCUCGUCGGUAACAGGGGUUCUGAUUGCACCAGCAGGCUAAACUGGCUGAUCUGUUCUGGUCUACAGAGGCGGGCAUUAGGAAGUCCAUGAUAGAGGCUGCCAUCACGUCGUCAGGAGUCAAGUGCCCAGUUCUGCAGUCUGGUGUCAGUCUGACCAUGUGACCUGCAGUGAACGGUCCUCCACCCUGUUCCUCAGGCUCUCAAAGCUGCAUUCUGGUUGGUCAAUCUGAGACCAUGUUAUGUGCAGUGAUCCACCAUCCCUCUGUCCUCUGGUUCCAUAGACGGGAUGGGCAGCCCCUCCCGUGGUUUCUCUGGAGCGUUGUCUUUCAGAAUCAGAAGGGUGCUGACCUACUUCCAACAUGUUGAAGGGGUGGUUACUGCCCACAGCUGGUGUUAUCCAAUAUAUGCGCUCUGUAUCAAACUAAGCAUUGUAUGUGGGCCAAAUCAUUAGCUAAAUCUUGUAAUGAAUGUAGAGAUUGGCCAAGUUCAAGAUACUAGACUAUUUUGUGUAACCCUGGAUUGUACACUGAAAUGGUACAUUUAAAGAUUCAACGGUAGCUGGGGGGGGGUGAGGUCUGAUAACGCUGCUCUGGUUGCUUGAUAAUCAAUUCGUACAGGCCCUAGUUUUAGCAGACCUGGGCUGCAGUCCAAACUACCCCUUCAGUCCUUAUUAAGCAUUGCAUAUGGGACAAUUCAAUUAACUUAACAUGUUAUCAAUUUAGCAAGUUGUGAAAACAUAUUGCUGUAACGGUAGCUAAAAUGGGGAUGUCUGUGAUAAAGCACUGCUUGUCGAGCCACAAAACAAAUACUGUUUUCACACUACUGCCCAGUUAUAUGUUAAAGUGCCACAAAGGACAGGCAAAUUAGUUGGCCCAGAACAGGGAAGUACUGCUGGCCCUUAAAGGAAUACUUCAGUUUUUAUUUUUAUGCGGCCUUUUAUUUACUUCCCCAGAGUCCAAUGUCCUCAUGGAUAUCCAUUUGGUCUGCAUCCAGUUUCAAAGGAAGUAGCCAGCUAUUGCUAAAUAGCAUUAGCAAAAUUAAGAUGUUUUGUGGUAUCUGCUAAUGCUGACUUACAAUUGCACCAGUUGGCUACUUCCUUCAAACUAGAUGCAGAGACAUAAAUGGUAUUGAGGUCAUCUGACUCGGGAAGUAGACAAAAGAGCCUCGUUGUCAAAAGCCUAAAGUAUCCCUUAAAAUGUACUCGUCACCCCUCCCUCUGCUUGCCCUACCUAUAAACUACUGAGUGACGCAGCGGUCUAAGGCGCUGCAUCUCAGUACUGGAGACCUCACUAGACACCCUGGUUUGAUUCUGGGCUGUAUCACAACUGGCCGUGAUUGGAAAUCCCUUAGGGCAUUGCGCAAUUGGCCCAGCGUCGUCCGGGUUUGGCCUGUGUAGGCCGUCAAUGUAAAUAAGAAUUGGUUCUUAACGGACUUGCCUACUACAUUAACAAAAUAUGUAUUUCAAUGUACCCUACAGCUGGUGUCAGCAACAGUAUGGUUGAUCUCCAGUGUGAGGACUGGUGUUUUAGUUUGAAUAUUUUUGUCAAUAAAGUUUUAUACCGUG